CGGAGGAUCCAAGCGUUAUCCGGAUUUAUUGGGUUUAAAGGGUGCGUAGGUGGCCUGUUAAGUCAGGGGUGAAAGACGGUAGCUCAACUAUCGCAGUGCCCUUGAUACUGAUGGGCUUGAAUGAACUAGAGGUAGGCGGAAUGUGACAAGUAGCGGUGAAAUGCAUAGAUAUGUCACAGAACACCAAUUGCGAAGGCAGCUUACUAUGGUUUUAUUGACACUGAGGCACGAAAGCGUGGGGAUCAAACAGGAUUAGAUACCCUGGUAGUCCACGCCCUAAACGAUGAAUACUCGAUGUUGGCGAUAUACGGUCAGCGUCUAAGCGAAAGCGUUAAGUAUUCCACCUGGGGAGUACGCCCGCAAGGGUGA
rnacentral:rRNA from 1 species